UACGUAGGCAGCAAGCGUUGUUCGGAGUUACUGGGCGUAAAGGGUGUGUAGGCGGUUCCUUAAGUUUGCUGUGAAAUCUCCCGGCUUAACCGGGAGGGUGCGGUGAAUACUGAGGGACUAGAGUACGGGAGAGGAAAGUGGAAUUCCUGGUGUAGCGGUGAAAUGCGUAGAUAUCAGGAGGAACACCAACGGCGAAGGCAGCUCGCUGGGACGGUACUGACGCUGAGGCGCGAAAGCGUGGGGGAGCAAACAGG
rnacentral:rRNA from 1 species